rnacentral:rRNA from 1 species
CACGGGGGACGAGCGUUGUUCGGAUUACUGGCGUAAAGGGUGCGUAGGCGGGCCGGUUAGUCGGGUGUGAAAUUACCAAGGCUUAACCUUGGAUCUGCAUUCGAAACUGCCGAUCUUGAGUACGGGAGAGGGUAGUGGAAUUCCUGGUGUAGCGGUGAAAUGCGUAGAUAUCAGGAGGAACACCGUUGGCGAAGGCGGCUACCUGGACCGAUACUGACGCUGAGGCACG